UACAUUUAAUUCAAUAUAUAAUUAUUUAAUAAUUUAAUAAAUGUAAAAUUCAAAUUACAAAUUUUAAUUUUAUCAAAUCCGCACUUCGUCUCAACUCUGACUUUUUGGCCCUUCUUCUAAAAUUUGAAGUCUCCCUUGCAGUAAAUAGAAUAACGAUGAUGAGCAUGCGUUAAAGAUUGGAAAUUGCCAUUUCCUCCACUGUUACCUCAUCCUGAUCGGCAAGUUUACCCCUGCGUCCAUUAAUAUCACUGUGGGUGGACCAUUAACGCGUCCCCAGGGCCCGUGGCAAACUGGACCUUUUCCGUCGUUUAGGAUUUGGAUAAAGAAAGGCCGGCUAAGCUGAUGAAAAUGUAGGCCACUCACCUCUUUGGAUCCUUGCUCAAAGCUUCUUUUUUUUUUUUAAUUUACUGCUAAUUUAUCCUAAUUUAAAGAAAAAGAAAGUUUAAAAAAACUGUAUAUAAGGUGUUAGUAAGUAUAAAAAUUUAUUAGAUUUUUUUUUUAUGGUCAUUGAGCCAAACCUUAGUAGUUAUCCUUGCUGAAAGUAUCACAGAUGCGAAUAGUCAUGAGUGCCUCACAUCACCAUUGGGGAUUUAUCUACAUUAAUUCAAGCUCUAGUCAUCAGGCUUGCCUAGAGAGUGAGAGAUAAGGCUCCCACUUUAAUCAAAGUAGUGGUCAAUGUACAGUUUGUGUCUGCCACUUAAUUUUGUGAGACUAUUUUAAGAUAAACAGGUAUGGAGAAGUUACGAGGAUAGUUACUGGAAGUUGGCUUUGCAUGCUUGCAUUUACUGUAUUUUUCUUUUAAUUUUUAGUGGUAAAUUUCAAAUUUAGACCUCUUAAUUACAUUUUCUUCUUUACAUUAUUCAAUUUAUCCCUCCUCUCGCAUAUAUUAUACUAGGCAUUCGACCCCGCGGCUGUCGCGAGGUGCCCAUACUAUGUAAAAGUCUCUGGAAAUUUCGCAGAUCAUGAAUAUGAAAGCAAAAAGCAUCUGCCUUUUUUAUAUAUAGAUGAUCGCUAUUCAAUAGGCAAAGAGAUAACAAACAUGGUAUGCAAAAUCAAAUAGAACAAAGCAGAAUAGACUGAGCAGUAAGCAAAGGAGAAGCAAUUAAGCGAAGAAAGGAUUGCUUUACCUGAAUAAUAAACGGUUAAUAGGAUCGCGGAAAACUUGGGUGCACUAAAUGAACUGGUAUGAUCAUGGAAAAGGCACACACAGUGAGCAUGAGCAAAAUACACCAAAAUGGGAAAAGUAAGGAGAUUUUUUAAAUUUGUUAAUAGUUUAUGGAGUCAGCUAACGUAAAAAAAUUCAGAGUUAAUGCAGACUAAAAAGCUGCAACAAAGAAAAAUGAUUCUGCGCGAAGUAUUGAGUUUUUUCGCAAAAAUCAUGGAAACAAAACAGAUAUUCUUAGGUAAUUAACCGGGAGGAAAAAAAUGAUAGAAACAUAACUUCAACCACAAGAAAAGAAAAUAAGUAACUGCAGAUUAACUAAGAGCAAACGAGGAAAAGGUCAACCAGGAAAUGCAGUAAAGAAAAACAAGGACAUACCUGAUUAAAGCCGACGCGAAGCUGAGAAUUCGACACAGGGAUCAGGGAAAGCCAAUAGAAAAUAAAGAGCUAACAGAAAGGCGCAAGAGAGAAGAGAAACAUCUCUAAAGCAUUAUAAUAGCUGCUAGACCGUAGAUGAAGAAAACCAAAUGAAAGAAACUGAGAGCGAAAAGGUUAAUGCAGACGGAAUGCAUAACCUUCAACUAUACAAAGAGUUUGUGGCCUGGCAGAACGAAGCACGUGCAUGCAUUAAAUGUGACUAACGAUUGCAAGUCCACUACGACUGUAUGUAAU
rnacentral:lncRNA from 1 species